ACCUACUUAACUCAGUGGUUAGAGUAUCGCUUUCAUAAGGCGAGAGUCAUUGGUUCAAAUCCAAUAGUAGGUA
rnacentral:tRNA from 41 species